CGUAAAGGUGCAUGAGUGGUGUUUGGUUUGUUACGUGUGGUUGGCUGCGGCGUUUGCAACAACUUCCAUGCUUUCAGACCUUUUCAGUAUUGCGGCAAGGCUUGUAUCGCCUUGAUCGUGUUGUGGGUUUACUGUGUUGAAUACCUAACCAAUGGUAUCGGUUGGCUAGAUCAGAGUUUCAUUUCGUCUUGCGUUGCUCUUGCGACGUGAGGUGAACCAUGAUGCGGUCUCUUUGAUCCACCUUGUUGAGGCAAAUGUUUUGACAUUGUGGCACAUUGAGCAUUGCUUGGUCUCUUGUAUACGGAACAUAUAGUGGGCAUGGAUCUAACGAUUCUUGUUUGCCCUCUUAUUCUUGCUUCUUUAAAACGACGUGCGCAACGUGUUGGCUUGUCCAGCCGUUGUGCUAUGUCGAAGAGGA
rnacentral:misc_RNA from 1 species